rnacentral:rRNA from 1 species
UACAGAGGUCUCAAGCGUUGUUCGGAUUCAUUGGGCGUAAAGGGUGCGUAGGCGGCGCGGUAAGUCGGGUGUGAAAUCUCGGGGCUUAACUCCGAAACUGCAUUCGAUACUGCCGUGCUUGAGGACUGGAGAGGAGACUGGAAUUUACGGUGUAGCGGUGAAAUGCGUAGAUAUCGUAAGGAAGACCAGUGGCGAAGGCGGGUCGUCU